rnacentral:rRNA from 1 species
GACGAACGCUGUCGGCGUGCUUAACACAUGCAAGUCGAACGGAAAGGCCCUGCUUUUGUGGGGUGCUCGAGUGGCGAACGGGUGAGUAACACGUGAGUAACCUGCCCUUGACUUUGGGAUAACUUCAGGAAACUGGGGCUAAUACCGGAUAGGAGCUCCUGCUGCAUGGUGGGGGUUGGAAAGUUUCGGCGGUUGGGGAUGGACUCGCGGCUUAUCAGCUUGUUGGUGGGGUAGUGGCUUACCAAGGCUUUGACGGGUAGCCGGCCUGAGUGGGUGACCGGCCACAUUGGGACUGAGAUACGGCCCAGACUCCUACGGGAGGCAGCAGUGGGGAAUAUUGCACAAUGGGCGGAAGCCUGAUGCAGCAACGCCGCGUGCGGGAUGACGGCCUUCGGGUUGUAAACCGCUUUCGCCUGUGACGAAGCGUGAGUGACGGUAAUGGGUAAAGAAGCACCGGCUAACUACGUGCCAGCAGCCGCGGUGAUACGUAGGGUGCGAGCGUUGUCCGGAUUUAUUGGGCGUAAAGGGCUCGUAGGUGGUUGAUCGCGUCGGAAGUGUAAUCUUGGGGCUUAACCCUGAGCGUGCUUUCGAUACGGGUUGACUUGAGGAAGGUAGGGGAGAAUGGAAUUCCUGGUGGAGCGGUGGAAUGCGCAGAUAUCAGGAGGAACACCAGUGGCGAAGGCGGUUCUCUGGGCCUUUCCUGACGCUGAGGAGCGAAAGCGUGGGGAGCGAACAGGCUUAGAUACCCCGGUAGUCCACGCUGUAAACGGUGGGUACUAGGUGUGGGGUCCAUUCCACGGGUUCCGUGCCGUAGCUAACGCUUUAAGUACCCCGCCUGGGGAGUACGGCCGCAAGGCUAAAACUCAAAGGAAUUGACGGGGCCCCGCACAAGCGGCGGAGCAUGCGGAUUAAUUCGAUGCAACGCGUAGAACCUUACCUGGGUUUGACAUGGAUCGGGAGUGCUCAGAGAUGGGUGUGCCUCUUUUGGGGUCGGUUCACAGGUGGUGCAUGCCUGUCGUCAGCUCGUGUCGUGAGAUAUUGGGUUAAGUCCCGCAACGAGCGCAACCCUUGUUCACUGUUGCCAGCACGUUAUGGUGGGGACUCAGUGGAGACCGCCGGGGUCAACUCGGAGGAAGGUGGGGAUGACGUCAAGUCAUCAUGCCCCUUAUGUCCAGGGCUUCACGCAUGCUACAAUGGCUGGUACAGAGAGUGGCGAGCCUGUGAGGGUGAGCGAAUCUCGGAAAGCCGGUCUCAGUUCGGAUUGGGGUCUGCAACUCGACCUCAUGAAGUCGGAGUCGCUAGUAAUCGCAGAUCAGCAACGCUGCGGUGAAUACGUUCCCGGGGCU